rnacentral:lncRNA from 1 species
CUAGAAACCGGCGGAGAUGGUGAAAGAAGCUGAAGAGACACACAGGAACAGCCCUGAUUUUGAAAGCAACAAGGAAGACAACUCACCAAUGUCUUUUAAGAAAGAGUUUCUCUUAAGACACAACACGGAGAAAGAAGUAGAAGGAUGCUCUUCACGUGACGUUCACCCCAGAGAGAGAUCUUUAUGGGCGGGUCUAAGCCGUCUUCCCUUCCGGCGCCUCCUGGGCCCUUUCCCUGCCGUCGAAGGACCCGAGGACUUGAGCUGCUGGCUCUCACAGAUGCAAGGCACACGGAACCAUCUGCUGUCAGGAUUGUUUAAAAACACACAGAGAUUGCACCGUCGCUGCACAGCUUCUCUCAAGAACCUUAGCAAGAAUCAGAAAGCGGUUUCAGUUCCUGAAAAAGAACCAAAUGACAUUCUAGAGGAAAAAAAUACACCUGUACUACUAGAAACCCCAAUGAAAAUAGAAGAUCAAAGAAAACCGUCAGGGGGACAACAGUCCCAAGAAGAGUCCUCACCAGGACAGCCGGAAGUACAACGUGACACCCAAGCAUCACUGGAACCGUCGUCCUUGGGACAGCCAUCCCAAGGACAGGCUGCUGACGGAGGUCCUCUGAACAGCCAUCCUGAGACAACCAUCCAUCCCCCAGACGGAUGCCCUGGGGAGGACACAAAGGACAGCGAAUACCCUGAAAACGAAGUAUCGGCCAUGGCGUGAAGCGCAACAGUCUGACGCUAGAAAGGAUCAUGAGGCAAAUUAAACGAAAAUUAGGCAUUUUUUCACAUGAUGCUGAAGAGGUGUGCUAGCAGAAUGUUACAAUUGUGAAUUUCAUAUUUUGGUGCCCAGACAUAAAGUUUCCAAACAAUAAGACCACAUGUAUCUGGAAUUUCUUCUUGGGUCCCUGAGUGCAAAGCUGGCAGGGAAGGGAGAGUCGCUGUGACGUUUAACGCGUGUCGCCACUUGGUCCAAAUGUUUGUUUCCUUCUUCUUAGAACAUCAGUCCAUGCCUGGACUGACGCAGCCCUCCUGAAAAUGAUCUGUGUUUUCAUAGGUAAGUGUAAUGAAACCUUCCUAUUCAGAGUGAGCUAAGCCUAUAAUUAUUAUGUUAAUGUGUAAAUACAUGCAUACACAGACAUACAGUAUACGUACCUGUACACGCACAUACAUGUCAGAAACAGACCAUCAGAACCCCAUGGAAUGGCACGUGGUUGGUGAGUAAGAAGAUGGACUCUGAAGUCAGAAGGUACAGUGAGGCUUCGCUCACUGGGUAUGUGAACUAGAUCUGCGCCUCAUCCAUAAACGGGAGCUAAUAAUGAUGCCUAACUCAUAGGUUGUUGGGAUAAUCGAGCGUGCCACUGCCUACCUUAAAGCCCUUUGCCAGUGCUGGACUCGGGGGGGACACUGAAAGAAGUUAACGACGUCCUUUUGGUUGUUGUCCUUUUUCCUUUAAAUGAGAGACGGUAAGCAGAUUAUGCUACCCAGAGCUUCUGCUAAGAUUCUUACCAGAUUUGACCCUUGUUAGGAGGGUCACCUGGGCUUCUCGGCUGUCCGAAUGCAGAUGGCGGCAAGGCUUGCAGGACCCUGAGGAUCCGGUUAUCAGCACACCCGUCCUUCCCCAUCUGUCAGUUGGUAGUACAGCGCUGGCGUGUGGAGGGAGAAGGGAAGGCUGUUAUUUCUUCAUAUUUGUGGUUUCUUGAUUUAUAGUUGGACCUGACCAU